rnacentral:rRNA from 1 species
UACGUGGGGUGCUAGCGUUGUCCGGAUUUAUUGGGCGUAAAGGGCUCGUAGGCGGCGUGUCGCGUCGGGGGGUGAAAGCCCGCUGCUUAACGGCGGGUUGGCUUCCGGUACGGGCAUCGCUGGAGUGCGGCAGGGGAGACUGGAAUUCCUGGUGUAGCGGUGAAAUGCGCAGAUAUCAGGAGGAACACCGAUGGCGAAGGCAGGUCUCUGGGCAUUAACUGACGCUGAGGAGCGAAAGCAUGGGGAGCAAACAGG